GCCUGUAGCGCGAUGGAUAGCGCGUUGGACUUCUAAUUCAAAGAUCGUGGGUUCCAAAUGCACCUGAGAUG